UGGAUUAGGCAUGCAAGUCGAACGAGGCCGGCCCCGCAAGGGGUCGAGUCGAGUGGCGAAAGGGGCAGUAAGGCGUGGGUAACCUGCCCAGGGGACUGGGAUAGCCUCGGGAAACUGAGGGUAAUACCGGGCGACGUAGCGGAGGGGCAUCUUCUGCUACCAAAUGAGUUUCGCCCCCGGAGGGGCUCACGUGGUAUUAGCUGGUUGGUGGGGUAAUGGCCCACCAAGGCUGAGAUGCCUAGCAGGUGUGAGAGCACGACCUGCGCCACUGGCACUGUGACACUGGCCAGACACCUACGGGUGGCUGCAGUCGAGGAUCUUCGGCAAUGGGCGCAAGCCUGACCGAGCGACGCCGCGUGCGCGAUGAAGGCCUUCGGGUUGUAAAGCGC
rnacentral:rRNA from 1 species